UACGGAGGGUGCGAACGUUAAUCGGAAUCACUGGGCGUAAAGCGCGCGUAGGCGGUCCGUUAAGUGGGAUGUGAAAUCCCCGGGCUUAACCUGGGAAUUGCAUUUCAAACUGGCGGACUAGAGUGCGGUAGAGGGAGGUAGAAUUUCCUGUGUAGCGGUGAAAUGCGUAGAUAUAGGAAGGAAUACCAGUGGCGAAGGCAGCCCCCUGGGCUAACACUGACGCUCAUGCACGAAAGCGUGGGGAGCAAACAGG
rnacentral:rRNA from 1 species